rnacentral:rRNA from 1 species
UACGGAGGGUGCAAGCGUUAUCCGGAUUCACUGGGUUUAAAGGGUGCGUAGGCGGAUAGGUAAGUCCGUGGUGAAAUCCUGCAGCUUAACUGCAGAACUGCCGUGGAUACUAUCUAUCUUGAAUGUCGUGAAGGUUAGCGGAAUAUGUCAUGUAGCGGUGAAAUGCUUAGAUAUGACAUAGAACACCCAUUGCGAAGGCAGCUAACUACGCGAUAAUUGACGCUGAUGCACGAAAGCGUGGGGAUCAAACAGG